UACGUAGGCAGCGAGCGUUGUUCGGAAUUACUGGGCGUAAAGAGUGUGUAGGCGGUGCUCUAAGUUCGGUGUGAAAUCUCCCGGCUUAACUGGGAGGGUGCGCCGGAAACUGGAGUGCUCGAGCGUGGGAGAGGAAAGCGGAAUUCCUGGUGUAGCGGUGAAAUGCGUAGAUAUCAGGAGGAACACCUGCGGUGUAGACGGCUUUCUGGACCAUUGUUGACGCUGAGACACGAAAGCGUGGGUAGCAAACAGG
rnacentral:rRNA from 1 species